GCCUUCCCCAGCUGGCUUAUGGAACUCCGCAGCCUGUCCUAUCUUGCUCUUAGCGAUUCAAAUUUGCAUGGCGAGCUACCUGCUGGGAUCGGAAGAUUGACUCGUCUGACCCAGCUUGAUCUCAGCGCUAAUUCACUCUCUGGUCCUCUCCCCGCGGAGAUUUGGAGUUCGAGGAGUCUAUCAAGCAUCGACCUCAGCUUUAAUUCGUUCCGAGGUCCGAUGCAAGUGGAAGCAGGGAAUUGGAGUAGUCUCUCACAGGUAUAUCUGCUCAACUGCUCACUCAGUGGCAGCAUCCCUGCUGCGAUUGGGAGUUUGACUCGUCUCAAGGAGCUGCACCUCAGUGGCAAUCGACUCACCGGUCCCAUACCUGCCGAGAUCGGUAAUUUGACUGCUCUAACAACGCUCGACUUGGGUCGUAAUUCUCUCACUGGAUCCGUACCACCUGAGAUCGGCAAGCUUUCCAACCUAACCUCGCUUGAUCUCUCUCUCAAUUCCCUGAAAGGUACCAUGUCCGAACUCCAUUUCGCCAACCUCGCCAAGCUAGACGUCUUAUACUUGUACAGGAACUCCUUGGACAUCGCAAUAGGCCAUGAUUGGAUUCCACCUUUUCAACUCGAGACAAUCGGAGUGGAUUCCUGUAAGCUGGGCCCUUCGUUUCCCGGAUGGCUGCGCUCGCAGGAAUCCAUGGUGGAUUUGAAUUUGUCGAACACAAGUAUCGAGGACACUUUGCCCGACUGGCUCUGGAAUUCUUCUUCCUCUUCCUUAAUGGUCAUAAAUCUGUCCCACAACAAGAUUUCUGGCACUCUGCCGGCAUCCUUGGAGAGUCUGACCAACUUGAUGUUCCUAAAUUUGAGCUCUAAUCUGUUCCAAGGUCUCGUCCCUGUUUCGCCACCAUUACUACAAGCACUGGAUCUAUCAAGCAACGCUCUCUCAGGACCGCUACCAUCGACCUUUGCACCGGUGUCGGUAUACUUGUUCUUCUCAAACAAUCAUAUUAACGGGAGCGUACCAUCCUCCGUCUGCACUUUGCAGCAGCUUUUCGCCCUCGAUCUGUCGAACAAUCAGAUAUCAGGAGAAAUACCUCGGUGUUGGCAAGAGGCAAAUGAACUUUUGUUUAUCAAUCUGGCGAAUAAUAAGCUCGGUGGAAAGAUUCCCAACUCCAUCGGAAACUUGACCGAGCUCAAGUUCUUGCAUCUGAGCAACAACAGCCUCCAUGGAGAUCUUCCACCAUCGUUGCAAAGUUGUAGCCAGUUAGCUGUCAUCGAUCUCGGUCGCAACCAAUUUUCGGGCAAGAUUCCGGCAUGGAUCGGGCAAAGCUUUCGAUAUCUGGAGGUACUUCUGCUACGUUCGAACAUGUUCUCCGGCGACAUUCCACCACAGCUUGGUCAACUAAGUAAUCUUCAAAUCAUCGACCUUGCCGACAACGAGCUAUCAGGGAUCAUACCACGCUCCUUCGGCAAUUUCAGCGCCAUAAUUUCCAUAUCAAAGUCGAUGUCUUCCACGAUUUCGUCCGACCCAAACUUCGAGUUGUCCUCUUUCGUAGCCAGCGAAAGCAUAGCUCUAUUUACAAAGGGAGACCAACGAAGCUUUUCGUCCAUUCUCCAUCUCGUGAAGAGCAUUGACCUCUCAAAAAAUUCUCUGACCGGAGCAAUCCCCACAGAGAUCGGGUACCUCGCCGCACUUCAAACUUUAAAUCUAUCAAGAAAUAGCAUCGGAGGUAUGAUUCCGAGUACCAUUGGCGGAAUGAAAUCACUGGAAACUCUUGACUUAUCAUUCAAUAACUUAUCCGGAGCUAUUCCUCAGAGUAUGUCAGCUUUGAAUUCUCUUAGCCACUUGAAUCUGUCAUAUAACAAUCUAUCCGGAGCCAUUCCAUCGGGUUUUCAACUUCAAACACUUCCGGCAUCCAGUUACAUCGGUAAUGCGUAUCUCUGUGGGCUUCCGGUUAGCAAGAGUUGCCUCAACGAGACAAAUACCAAUGCGACAGACGAGGAGGACGAGGAAGAAGGACUUCGUGGGCUAUCGCUUUACUUCGGCAUCGCGCUCGGUUAUUUGGUUGGACUGUGGAGCGUGUUUAUCGUCAUGCUAUUUAAGAAAGAUUGGAGGAUAUUUUAUUUUCGAAUGAUUGAUCAAAUAUAUGAUAAAGCGUAUGUGGCAAUCAAGAUAAAGAUCAACGGAUGGACGGUCAACAAAGGAGGGGGACGUACGCAAAAGUGAAGGCAACGUUACUGUAUUACAUAGUGUGUGCUAUGAUCAAAGGCAAGGAUGUUAAGAGUUACGCCAUCAGUAAUGUUGCUAUGAAUGAUGCAUGCGGUGAUGUCUGCGAUUCGUCGCUUUUGUAUCAUCUCAUAUGUAACUAUGAUGAAAUUAUGAUGCCGAAGAAAUCGAAACAAUAAAAAUGAGUUUUGGGUUACAAUGACACGGUUGACGUAAAAAUCGAUUAGUUGAGGGGCUAAACUAUAAUGUUGACGUAAAACCCCCAUCCUUCGAUCGGCGGUUGUCGGUCGAAGCGCGAGAGGGAAGAUGGUUCGGCCAGAUGGAGUCAAAGAGUGAAAGCUCAAGAGAAGGGCGGAAGAAUCUGCCCCGAUGGUGGAGGAGGAGGAGGAGGUUGAGGUCUUCGACGAGGGAGUACGCGAUGGGGUUGAAGAAGGGAUCGGAAACUUAGGGGAGAUUGCGGAGCCCGAGGACGAGAGGAGGGCGGAGGAGGGGGUGGACGAGAUGCCAGGGAUCCGGGUCACCUCGCCAGUCGACGGAGCGAAGCGGCCGGGAGUCAUAUUCGUUCUCGAGAAGGCGUGUUUGGAGGUUGGCAAAGUCGGGAAGAAUUUUCAGAUCCUGAACUCAGAUGACCAUGCAAAUUAUCUAAGGAAGCAAAAUCGAAAUCCUGCCGAUUAUAGGCCUGACAUCAUUCAUCAGGUGUGUCGAUUUUGCUCUUUUUGCAUUACACUUUUGGUUUCUUUCGAGUUAUGUUCUCUUUAUAUAAUCCUUGCAUUCAUUUUUUUGGGAAUUCACAUUUUUGGUUCGGAGUUGGAAAGCACUACCAUGUAAUUUUCUAACACAUAAUCAUUCUUCACCAGACGUGCUCCUCCGAUUACUCCAUGAAGUGAGUGAUAUCGAACCUUUGAUAGAUGAAAAUUUCCAAUGAUCAUAAAUGCCCAUUUGCUUCAGUUCAUUUGUUUGAAUUUUGUGUUCAUACUACAUUAAAAAUAUAUGUAUAUGACUUAGCUCCUAUCUUCCAUUAGAAGUUUUAUGUCUUCAUUAACUUACAGACUAAAUUGUCAACUCGAAGAUGAUGUUAGGCACUUCUCACGAUAUUUGAUAGCCCCCUAGCUUAAGGCUGGUAAGCUGCAGGCUGUCUAUGUGAAAACAGAGAAGGGAGUUCUUUUUGAAAUCAAACCAUAUGUCCGCAUCCCAAGGACUUUCAAGCGUUUCUGCGGUCUUAUGUAUAACCCAAUUGUUACAAAAAUCAAGUAUAAUUGCUGUCGGGAAGCUGGAGAAACUUGUGUGUCAUAAAGAAUCCUGUGACUCGCCAUUUGCCUGUCAAUUCCAAGAAAUUAGGACUCUCCUAUAGUUCAGACAGGUCGGUUAACUUGUGUAAUUAUGUAGCUGCUGCUAAUGAUGAUUCUGCCCUUGUUUUUAUGGUUGGUGCGAUGGCUCAUUGAGCGAUUGAUAAGGAAUACGCUGAUGAUUUUAUAUCGAUUUCAGAAUACCCUCUGAGUGCGGCAUGCUGCUUCAACAGGAUCGCCUUUUUUCCCAUAAAAUACCCGGAUGAGUGACUUGGUUCUUUUUCUCCAAGUGAUUAAGCUGGUCAUCGUUAAAGCAAUCAUCUAUGUGCGCAAAGCUUAUUCUUAAUAUUAAUCAGUUCUGCAGUUCCGUGUUUCUAUCGAAGAUUUUGCCCUUUCACCGGUUACUGUAUUCUUUACAAUUCAAUCAUGAUGUGCUAUUGAUGUCCAUUGAUCAUGUCGAUCACCCUCUGCCGAACCUAAUUGGCAUUCGAACCCAUUCACCGUGUUGUAUUACUGCACGAUUGUGUUACUCAUUUAAAUUGUUUUGCUUC